rnacentral:misc_RNA from 1 species
AAAAAAAAAAAAAAAAAAAGAGAACGAACCCUCGAAAACCCGAAUCCCCAAAUCGAAACUAACUUCGCUAUUAUCUCCUCUUCUUCCAAAAUGGUUAGAAAAGCCGAAAAUCCGUAAGAGAUUACAUCUUCUUCAUGAAUUAAUAGUAUUAAUCAAGAGCGAUUUUGAGGCCUAAUUAUGGAUUGAUGCCCUAAUCGCCAUGCAUGAAAGUUUUUAAAGGAAGAAAAGAGCACAGAGAGAGCGCAACGAAAGGGAUUUAGAAAACACGUUGCAUAUAUACG